AUUUGGCGCUAGGGGUGCCUGUGUGGCUGAGAAGCGUAGAGACGCUAACCCUUGAGACUCGAUCUGGGUAAUACCAGCGGGAGGAAGUGCUUGACAUCGAAC
rnacentral:ncRNA from 1 species